rnacentral:rRNA from 1 species
UGUCUAUAUGAGAGUUAUAUAAAGUCUGGCCUGCCCACUGAUUUGAAUUAAAGGGCCGCGGUAUUUUGACCGUGCGAAGGUAGCAUAAUCAUUAGUCUCUUAAUUGGGGGCUUGUAUGAAUGGUUGGACAAAAAAUAAGCUGUCUCGGUUAUAUAUGUUGAAUUUAACUUUUGAGUGAAAAGGCUCAAAUGUCUUAGGGGGACGAUAAGACCCUAUAAAGCUUUACAAUUAUUUAAUUAAAUUGUAAAUUGUUUAUUUAACAUGGUUUAGUUAAUGUUUGUUUCGUUGGGGCGACGGGAAUAUAAUUAGUAACUGUUCUUUAUGAGAGACAAUAAUUUUUGGUAUUAUGAUCCUCUAUUAGAGAUUAAAAGAUUAAGUUACUUUAGGGAUAACAGCGUAAUCUUCUUUGAAAGUCCAUAUCGACAAGAAGGGUUGCGACCUCGAUGUUGAAUUAAGGUUUCUUUAUGGUGCAGCAGUCAUAAUGAGAAGGUCUGUUCGACCUUUAAUUCCUUACAUGAUCU